GACGAACGCUGGCGGCGUGCUUAACACAUGCAAGUGGAGCGACGAACCAGGCUUCGGCCUGGGGCAGAGCCGCGAACGGGUGAGUAACACGUGGGUAACCUGCCCCGAAGACCGGGACAACCCGAGGAAACUCGAGCUAAUACCGGAUGUGGUCACUCCUCACAAGUGGAGUGAGCAAAGGGAGCUUCGGCCCCCGCUUUGGGAUGGGCCCGCGGCCCAUUAGCUUGUUGGUGAGGUAACGGCUCACCAAGGCUUCUAUGGGUAGCUGGUCUGGGAGGACGAUCAGCCACACUGGGACUGAGACACGGCCCAGACUCCUACGGGAGGCAGCAGUGGGGAAUCUUGCGCAAUGCGCGACAGCGUGACGCAGCAACGCCGCGUGGGGGAAGAAGGCCUUCGGGUUGUAAACCCCUUUCAGGAGGGACGAAGCUCCGGGAGUGAAUAGCUCUCCGGAGUGACGGUACCUCCACAAGAAGCCCCGGCUAACUACGUGCCAGCCGCCGCGGUAAUAC
rnacentral:rRNA from 1 species